rnacentral:rRNA from 1 species
GUGCCAGCAGCUGCGGUAAUACGUAGGUGGCAAGCGUUGUCCGGAUUUAUUGGGCGUAAAGCGAGCGCAGGCGGUUUCUUAAGUCUGAUGUGAAAGCCCCCGGCUCAACCGGGGAGGGUCAUUGGAAACUGGGAGACUUGAGUGCAGAAGAGGAGAGUGGAAUUCCAUGUGUAGCGGUGAAAUGCGUAGAUAUAUGGAGGAACACCAGUGGCAAGGCGGCUCUCUGGUCUGUAACUGACGCUGAGGCUCGAAAGCGUGGGGAGCGAACAGGAUUAGAUACCUGGUAGUCCACGCCGUAAACGAUGAGUGACUAAGUGUUGGAGGGUUUCCGCCCUUCAGUGCUGCAGCAAACGCAUUAAGCACUCCG